rnacentral:rRNA from 1 species
AGUUUGAUCCUGGCUCAGAACGAACGCUGGCGGCAGGCUUAACACAUGCAAGUCGAACGCCCCGCAAGGGGAGUGGCAGACGGGUGAGUAACGCGUGGGAAUCUACCCAUCUCUGCGGAAUAGCUCUGGGAAACUGGAAUUAAUACCGCAUACGCCCUACGGGGGAAAGAUUUAUCGGGGAUGGAUGAGCCCGCGUUGGAUUAGCUAGUUGGUGGGGUAAAGGCCUACCAAGGCGACGAUCCUUAGCUGGUCUGAGAGGAUGAUCAGCCACACUGGGACUGAGACACGGCCCAGACUCCUACGGGAGGCAGCAGUGGGGAAUAUUGGACAAUGGGCGCAAGCCUGAUCCAGCAAUGCCGCGUGGGUGAAGAAGGCCUUCGGGUUGUAAAGCCCUUUUGUUGGGAAAGAAAAGCAGUCGGUUAAUACCCGAUUGUUCUGACGGUACCCAAAGAAUAAGCACCGGCUAACUUCGUGCCAGCAGCCGCGGUAA